UUAACUUUACUUUGUAUGGAGUUGGAACGUUUGCCUACGUUUGCCGCUAGGGGCGCUGUUCCAAUUGCAAACAAAUGUGAACUU
rnacentral:pre_miRNA from 1 species